rnacentral:misc_RNA from 1 species
GCUAGAUGCCGGGAUAAGGAACGAAAAUGCAUUGUCUGUGUUUUCGAAUGGCGGUCGAGGAAACUCAUGAAAGCCACCAAAAUUACAUGAAUCGAAGUUCAGAGGUGAGAAAUAACUAAGAGGAUCAUCAACACCACCUUUUGCAUCUCCUAUGGUUUCAACUGAGCUUCCUCCUGAAGCAACCGACCCGAAACUGAAAUUUAUGCUCCCAAGCUUAUUCAUUGUUUCAUAGCGUUCUCCUCGAUCACAGGACAUGACUG